UUGCCUGUCCCAAAGUUAUGAAGACAUUCUGCUUUCUUCUAGAAGCUUUAUUGUCAUAUCUCUCACAUGUGUAUCUGCAAUCCAGCUGGAGUUGAUUUGCGUGUAUGCUGUAAGAUGUCUGGUUGCCUACCCUGUGCUGGCUACUGGUCACUGGGGAUCCACAGCGGACAAAACGGACAGCAAAUGCCACUCUCAUGGAGAAAGGCGAUGCGAACAUAAAUAAAUAAAAUGCACCAAGUGUGAAGGAAGAUGAUAAUUGUUGUGGAGCAAAAUAAGGCAGGACAGAGUGACUGCGAGUGUUAAUUUCUCCUGCCAGUGCCUCCCCUUAGCAGAACCCGGCCCGCAGCCCACUGAUGGAAUUUCUGGUCAAAGAAGCCUAGGGAUCGCCCCCCUCCCCCCCCCCCCCCCCGGAGAUCCAAGGCAGUCCCAGGGAGAUGAGAACUGGCCUUGACAGUGGACCUUCCGACAGCGAGAUACCUCCUCACAUCCUACCUCCUCCUGGCUAAAGUGAAAAAGACCAAUCACACCAAAUGCUGGCAAGGACAGAGAGGACCUGGAACUCUCUCAUCUUGUUAAUGGUGUGUAUGGUAGUAAAAGUACUUUGGAAAACUGCUCGGCAGUCUCUCUGAUAAAGCUGGAUAGACACCCACCCAGGACCCAGCAAUUCUACCCCCAGGGAUGUACCCGAGGAGAAGUGAGAACCUACAUUCACAAAAAAGACUUGUCCUCGAAUGUGAAUAGCAGCGCUGUAAUAGCCAAAGUGCUGGAAACAACCCCAAAUGUCUGGAAACAGGAAAAUGGAUUAAAUUAUGGUUAAUGCCUACAAUGGAAUGUGCAUUACAAUAAAAAUAAGCACACUAGUGCUACAUGCAACCACAGGGAUGAAUCCCCAAGACAUUACGCCGAGUGAACUAGGCCAGACGUAACGGAGAACAUAAUUGUGUGACUGCGUGUAUAUCAAGCACAAAGACGGGCAAAACCGAUCUACGGUGAUGAGGGAGGGUGGCCUGGCAGGGGGCACGAGAACAACCUUCUGGGAUUAUGGAAAGGCUCUCUACCUUGGUCUGGGCGUUGACAACACAGAUACGUUUGACAAAACUCCUCAACUGUACUCUUCGGAUCUGUGUAUUUCCUACUCUGGGAAAGUGACACCUCGAAAAAGGAAGAAAAUGUACGAACACAUAAAAGACUUCAGCCUUUGUCUCCCUUCCUCUGCCACCAGCCCAGCUCGAGGAGUGCUUCUCGAUGUCAGCCAUCCACGGACCCCUCGGCUUUCUCCCACCCUGCACACGGGGGCGGAUCCGUGUUGCCACAGCAGCCGUUGGGGACAGCGCGUAGCUCUGGACCUGGAGCCCGGGAUGCCCCGUUUAAGUCGUGGCUCAUCCUCUCCCAGCUGUGUCAUUUAGUUGAGCCACAUCACUUCUCAGAGUCCUCUUUUAUCAUCUGAAAGAGGGGCUAACAACACCUCCUUCAGAGGAUUGUUGGGGAAAUGCAAAUGAGCUAGCAGCAGGGAAAGAACUUCUGGAAACAAGAAUUCAGCAACCUUAGGGUACUGCUCAUACCGCUCAGCCACAGGUGACCCUGACCAAUGCGGGCCUGACUCCUGCACAGUUGACAAUCUGGGUAUAACUUUUGACUGCCCGAAAACUUUAUUACUGAUAGCCUGCUGUUACCAGAAUCCAACCAGUAACAUAAGCAGUCAAUUAACAUGUAUUCUGUAUGUGUAUUGUAGACUGUAUUCUUUUUUUAAUGUUUAUUUACUUAUUUAGAGAGAGAAACACAGAGAAAGACAGUAUGAGUGGGGGAAGGGCAGAGAG